rnacentral:rRNA from 1 species
UACUCGAGUGGCGAACGGGUGAGUAACACGUGGGUGAUCUGCCCUGCACUUCGGGAUAAGCCUGGGAAACUGGGUCUAAUACCGGAUAGGAGCCAUUUUUAGUGUGAUGGUUGGAAAGUUUUUUCGGUGUAGGAUGAGCUCGCGGCCUAUCAGCUUGUUGGUGGGGUAAUGGCCUACCAAGGCGGCGACGGGUAGCCGGCCUGAGAGGGUAGACGGCCACAUUGGGACUGAGAUACGGCCCAG